ACAUUGAUUAAAAAUGGAAAUUAAAUAGAGUUUUUAUUUUUCAUUUUCAAAUAAUUUAAAAAAUAAAUUUUCUGAAAAAGAAAAAUCUAUGGCUAAUUAGUACAUUGGCCUUCCCUGAUGAACAUUUCAAAAUUUGCGCACAUCCAUUCUUAAUAACGCAAAUGUUAAUUUAUUCGCCACAAAGAGAACCAUGUGUAAACACGAUUUCUAUUCCAAUCUGUGCUAACAAUUUAAAAAUGAUGAGGUUUCUAUGAGUAUUUUGUCACCUUUUAGUUUUGGCAUGUCUUUGCUUUUGGUUGAGAUUUCUCCCCCAAGUCCAAGCUUUUAUUCAACGAAAACCAAGAGUGAUUGAAAUCACCUAAGGAACAAAAUCCCUAAGAAAAAUCCUAAAAAACGAAGAUUUUUUUCUUUCAUUUUUUGUUUUUUUUUUCCCUUAUUCCCACUUAAUUUUCUGACGAUUUACGAAACUAUCCUUGGUAUCAACAAUAUUAUUGCUAACAUUGAUGAUGCCAAAGAACUUUUAUGUUGGAGGCUGUUAAAAAUUUGCCAAUAUACACAAGAAGGAUGUCGCGAACUUUACAGAAGAGUUCUGGGAGAAAGGUUGGUUACCCAAAGGUAUGGGGGCAUCAUUCAUAGCACUUAUCCAUAAGAAAGAAGAGGCCGAGUCACUCAAAUAUUUCCAACCCAUCAGUCUAAUUGGGAGUCUGUGCAAGAUCUUGGCCAAGAUCCUUGCUUUUGGAUUCAGAUCGGUGUUACCUAUUGUCAUAUCCGAGAACCAAGGUGCCUUCUUGGCUAAUAGACAGUUAUUAGACAAUGCCUUGCUCAUGAAUGCAUAAACUCAAGAUACAAGGAAAAAGAAAAAGGGGUCGUUUGUAAAUUGGAUAUUGAGAAUGCUUACGACCAUGUGGACUGAGGGUUCCUUGAAUCUAUGUUAAAAAAAUAAGAUGCAGGAAUAAAUGGAUCUCAUGGAUGCAUGAAUGUCUUUCUUCGGCUUCAUUCUCAUUUUUGGUGAACGAAUCUCCAAAGGGAUUCUUCAAAGCCUCGAGAGGGUUAAGAUAGGGGGAUCUACUCUCCCAUUUUUUGUCCAUAGUGGUAGCGGAAGCUUUGAGUAGAAUGUUGGUUAUAAGGGCAAGAGGUGGGACUUGUCUCUUGUUUCAAAGGUGCAUUAGAAGAUCAUCAUGUCUCCCAUCUCCAAUACGCGGAUGAUACCAUUAUAUUAUGUGAUGCAGAUAUAUUAGUGGUGGAUAAUUUAAGGCAAAUUUUGGGAUGCUUCAAGUCACCCUCAGGAUUAAAGGUGAAUGAAAAGAAAAGUGAGAUGUUGUGCAUUGGAAUUUCCAAUGAGGAAUUAUCAGCCUUUGUAGAAAUGUUCGGUUGUGAACUUGAAAAAUUUCCUUUGUCCUACCUAGGCCUCCCACUGUGCAUAGGUUAAUUGGUGAAACACUUGUGUAAGAAGGUGAUGGAGCGGUUUCAAAAGAAGCUAUCAAGAUGGAAGAGUCAGCAUCUCCCCUCAGUAGGCUGGAUCGCUCUCAUUAAAGGAGCCUUAUCGAACCUUCCUGUCUAUUAUGUCUCUAUACAAGUGCCCGAAGGCAGUUUUAGAUAAAUUGGAAAAGUUAAGGCGUGAUUUCUUAUGGUAAGGAGCAGAGGAGAGACAUAAAUUCAACUUGCUUAAGUGGGAGGAGGCCUGCAAGCCCUUAUCAAAGGGGGGUGCAAGCAUAAGAGUCCUUGAUUCUAUAAAUGUUGCUUUAUUAGGAAAACUGCGGUGGUGAUUUGAAUCGGAAGUAGGCAGGCUUUAGAGAGAAGUUAUUACACACUAGUAUGGGGUUCAAGAGGGGGGUUGGGAGCUGAAAAGUACAUCGCAUUAUUGUGCAUCCGGAAUAUGGAGGGCCGUUAUUUAGUAGGACCCUCAUUUAAGCAUGGGUUGACCAUUCUCUCUAGGAAAUGGGAAUUGAAUUCGGUUUUAGGAAGAUCCAUGGUGUGGUGAUAGACCCUUGGAAUUGGAAUUCCCAUCUGUGGCAAGCUCGCCCUAUCAAAGAAUAUAUCAGUGAGACAUGUUUCUCCUGUGCUAGGGAAAGUGGAGUUUGGUGUCACUCAUGUAGAAGAGCUUUAUCAGAUGAAGAGGUGGAAGACUUCGCACAACUACUGGUGCAACUUCAUAAAAUUCAACCCUCAUUAGCCUUGGAAGACUGGUUUGGAAUGCUUCUCUAUUAGGUAAAUUCUCGGUCAAGUCCUUAUACAAGAUGAUUAGAGGCCUUAAAGGGUCCAGGGGCUCGGAAUUUUUCUGUGUAUUGGUUUUAUGGGGCACUCCUAUAGGUUGCAUCCUUUGCUUGGCUGGUUAGGCACAAUCGUAUGCUGACGAUAGACAAUCUUUGAAAAAGGUCUAUCAUUCUCCCAAAUAUUUGUCUCAUGUGCAGGGAUGAAGCAAAAUCGUAGAUCAUCUCUUCAUCCAUUGCCCCUUUGAUGCAGGAUGGUUUUCUAACCUAGGAUGAUAGAUGAAAUCAGAUUUUCAGUUUAAAUAUGAGCAACAUAAGUAUGAAAUUUCAGCAACCUCAUCGUAAAUCAAACAAUUAAUCAAAUAAGCAAUUAUAUGUAAUCCUAGGUUACCACAUGCUCGUAAGAAGGAACUCGUAAGAUGUUAAUUUGAAAUAGGCCCAAUGGAAUUAAGAAAUUCCAUCUAAAUGGGUAGAUCUAAUUUAAAGGGAAUCACCUAAGUCCUAAAGGGAUUUUAAAGGAUUCUAGGUAUAGAGAAAUUAGGGUUAGGGUUAGGAUUUGGAAAUUGGGAAAAUAUGAAAUUAGGGUUUAUUUGAAAGGGGAAUCUAGGGUUUUAGGUCAGGGUUUGAUUAAAGAAGGAAGAAUAAGGAAGGAUGUAAGAAAAAGGGUUUAAGUGAGGUCCACAAAAUAGAUGGACUAUUCGUACAGUCGUACGAACGUACGGAUUCACACUUCUGGCUGGACUUUUUGUUUGGUUGGGAUAGUUUGGGUUUAAGAAGAAAAGGAAAAAAGAUGAAUGAGAAGAAGAUUUGAGGGGAAAAGAGAGAAGAGAUGAGAGAAAAUACCUUUGGAGCUUGAGAAGAGAGAAGAGAUGGAUAAACAAGGCUUCACACUAUGGUAGUUUUCAUUCGGAUUCACACUAAAUUGGGUUUUACACCACAUUCUCCAUAAACACGAGAAAGAGAAGAAAACUUCAAGCUUUUUCAUUAACAUGACGUUUAAAAAAAAAAAAAGGCUAGGAUUGGAUGUCCAAGACUUUAUAGUCUAAAAGUUGAUCUCUUACAAAAAGACCAUUAAUCAAAAACCUGUUUGCUUUUAACCCCCUACUUUGUAAAUUACAAAUUCCCCCCUGUAAAAGCAUAAAACCAAUAAAACAUUUAAAUAAAGUCUUAAAAAUUAACUAAGUGCUCAAAAACAAAAAUCUCUAUAUUCCGAAGAAACCAAGGCUAUCCGAUGAACUCUGAAGACGUCCACGAUCAUGGCGGGCGACGAUCAAUUUGUAUCCAACGGUCCGAUUGUGAAGUCCUCACGAUUUAAUGGUCCGAAAACAUCCUCCAUGCAACCCACAUGCUAUGUGGGGUCUUUGGCUCCUCCUCGGGACUCGAAUGGGUACUUGCCUAGCCAUAGGCGACAUUGGUGCUUGGACCCUUCUCUGAUAUGUGCAAAAUGGCGUCUGUAAUGUGAUGUCCCCAUUAACUCUCCACGACUGAGAAGAAUUUGCCUCUAGCGAAAUAAAGCUCCAAUACCGCUCAAGUAUGGAUGACAAGGGAGGCAAAGGCUGGGAAGAUAGGUUAGGUAAAGGCCAUGGUUCAUGGUACAGGUUUGGAUCGCUGUGAUGGUAAGGUGAAAUGUUGGUUGCUACAGCUGGGGACCCCGUAUAAGGCACAAGACUAAUCCCCAUGGAAGGUGGAAGAUCUAUAAUAUGCGCAUUGAAACCAAUUGGUUUCAGUAUCUUAUAAGGUUCCACACUACGAGCCUGUUGUUUUUUAAUGGUUCAACGAGGAAACUGCUUUGGCCUAAUGCAGAUCAUCACAUAGUCGCCUACUUGAUACUCUUUGAAUCUACGAUGAGAAUCAGCAGAAAUUUUAUAAUGUUCAUUGCUCAUAUUAAUCAUUUAUUUGAUUUCAUCAUUUAAUGCAUGAAUGUGCUGUGCAAAGGACUCUGCAGACUCUGAUGGCCUAUGUGAUAAUGACAUGGGAAUGAGGUCAGUAGGUUUUCUAGGCUUAUAACUGUAUACAACUUCAAACGGACUCGUGCCUAUGGACCUAUUAAUCGAACUAUUAUAUGCUAACUCCACAAUAGGUAAUACUGCAUCCCACGUCCUAGUGCCAUCGCCCAUGAGACAUCUCAACAAAUUACCGAGACUCCUAUAAACCACCUCUGUCUAGCAGUCAGUUUGGGGGUGGUAAGCCAACGCAAAUUGGACCCUCGUGCCCAUCAUGUGCCAUUGUCUUCCAAAAGUAACUCAUGAACCUAACGUCUUAGUCAGGCACAAUGGUUUUUUGUCAAACUGUGCAAACGAACUACCACCCCAAAGAAUAGCUUUACGAUAUUGUAGGCAUCCGAAGUCUUAAAACAUGGAAGGAAGUGGGUCAUUCUAGAAAAAAACGAUCCACUACGACAAAGAUGGAAUUGUGCUUCUUAAUAGUCUUAGGAAGCCCAAGCAAAGAGUCCAUGUUAAUGUCCUGCCAUGACGCGUGUGGCACUAGCAAAUGUGUAUACAAUCCUGUAUUUUGCCUCUUCUGCUUUGCCAACUGACAAGUACGACACUACCCAAUAAUUUUGGCUCCGUCCCACUUGAGACUAGGCUGAUAGAAUCUAUCUUCCAUGAGGGGGACUGGUCUUGUCACGACCAAAGUGACUUGCAACUCCAGCAUGAAGAUCCCAAACGAGGAAAUCGCGGAGAGAGGUAUGGGAAAUACAGAGUUUGUCACCUUUAAAUAUGAAAUUAUAGUUCAAGAAAAAACCAUUGUCAUUCCUCGACUGGCCAUCCAAGAUCAACACAUAUACCUUCCCAAAAUCUGGGCAAGCAGGGUAUUCAUCUCUAAGUUGCUCAAACCCAGUAACCUCUACACUCAUGGACUGUAAAAGCAUCACUCUACGACUAAGGGUGUUGGCAAGUUUGUUCUCGACCUUGACCUUAUGUUUCAAUAUGAAUGAAUACUCCUGGAGAAACUCAACCCACUUAGCAUACAUUGGGUUUAGCUUCUUUUGGGACUAAAGAUAACGUAAGGCCUCAUGAUCAGAAAAUAAGACAAAUUUCUGCGGUAGCAGAUAAUGUCGCAAAUGUUUCAAAGACUGGACUACCACAUAGAACUUGUCAUAGGUAGAGUAACAUUGCUUUGCAUCAUUCAACUUCUCACCAAAGUAAGCAACAGGGUGCCGUUCUUGACUAAGCACUCCACAUAUACCCACACCUGAAGCAUCACAUGCAACUUCAAGACUUUGGAAAAGUCUGGAAGGUGCAUGACAGGCGCCUCACUCAUUUUGCCGUUAAUCUCUUUAAAUGCUAUAGAGGCUACUUUAGUCCAUGCAAACUCACAUUUCUUUAUGCAAUCAAUGAUGGGAGUCAUGAUGGAACUAAAUAUUCUGAUGAACCACCUAUAGAAGAUGGUUAAGCUGUGAAAGCUUCACACUUCUUGAAUAUUGUGCGGUUCAGGACACUCUAUUAUGGCCCUGACCUUCUCGAGGUCCGCUCUCAUGUCCUCAAAUGAAACGAUUAACCCUAAGAAGAUAACGCUAUCUGACAUGAAUGUGCACUUCUUCAGGUUGGCAUAAAGCUUUUCGAUUUUGGGGACCCUGCAAACUUGCCUCAAAUGGUGGAGAUGUUGUUCCUUGGAGGUACUAUAGAUAAGAAUAUCGUCAAAGUACACAACUAGGAACUUACCCAUAAAAGGUCUCAACACCUAGGUCAUCACUCUCAUAAAUGUGCUCGGGGCAUUGGUCAAGCCAAAGGGUAUGACUAGCCACUCGUAUAGCCCAUCCUUCGUCUUGAAGGCUGUCUUCCACUCAUCUCGUGGGUAUAUAUGUAUUCGGUGAUACCCACUCUUGAAGUCUAUCUUCGAAAAUAGUGGCAUUAGUCAUCAUGUCUAGCAUAUCAUCAAGACACGGUAUAGGAAACUGGUACUUCACCGUGAUUUUAUUAAUGGCUCGAUUGUCCACACACAUGCGCCAAGUGUCAUCUUUCUUAGGUGUGAGAAGGGCAGGCAUGGCGCAUGGACUCAUACUCUCUUGAAUGAACCCUUUUCUCAGAAGCCCAUCAACUUACUUCUUUAAUUUAGUGUGCUCUGCGAGGUUCAUUCGGUAGUGAGGAAGGUUAGAUAGUGUCGACCUAGUGACUAGAUCAAUGGCAUACUCGAUGUCCCUCAUGGUGGAAGCUCAUCUAGUAGAUCAUUGGGAAAAACAUCACUAAACUCAUCUACCAUCGGAAUUGCCUUAGAUGACAACUCUACUCUUGCCUCGGGUAUAACUUCUCUGUCCACAAGGGCAUACACUGUCGAAUCUGUCUCAAUCUCUUUUUCAAACUCCUUUGCAUUUAUAAUGUGGAGAGACUUGAGCUGGGAUUUACUCACUUUUUUGGGAUCAGCCUUUCUAAUGUCCUCCUUUUCCAUAGUACUUUUGGGCGGGAGAGGAUUUAACUUUACCCUCUUGCCUUUGUGCAUAAAAGAACACGUAUUCGAGCUAUUGAAUAGUGUCACAACUCUAUUGUAGAACCAAGGCCUACCUAAAAUGAUGUGACCCACAUCCAUAGGCACAACAUCACAUAACAAUGUAUCUCUAUAAGAUGCGAAUUGGAUAGGAAUGACACAUUGCUGUGAAACCGGAAUAGAAGACGCAUCAACCCAUGAUACUCUAUAGGGCUGAGGGUGAGGGAUGGGUGUCAAACCCAACCGGCUAAUGGUGUUAGUUGAGACCACAUUGGCGCAGCUGCCACUGUCAACUAUCACCUUGUAGUUAUUUCUCCAUAAUUGGCGUAAGUAUAGAAGAUAGUGUUUCAAUGCCAAUCAUCACUAACCUUAGCCUGAGUUAAGGCGCACCUGACUAUUGCAAGUGGCACGGUCUCAACUCCUUCGUCAGUAGCACCUCCUUUGGGCUCAUACACUUCUUCUUCGUAUUUGCCAUGGUCAUCUGCAUCUUCACAAGAGUCAUCAAUGAAGAGUGCCUUGGUUUGCUCUUUUGUGGGGCACUAGUAUGCACAAUGACCAAACCCUUGGUAGUUGUAACACCGCAUGGGCCCACCUCCUCUUGCAUUGAUACUAGCUACACCUUGACCCUUAGUAUCCCCAGGGUUAGGUUGCGCACCAGCUGGGGCCCGGGACUAACUCCCAAAGUUAGGUUUGGUCCCCUAGGGAUUAGCCUUAACAUUGAUUCGCGGGAGUCAAAUCGCCUCGUGAACUGCAGUUUCACAUACUGCUCUAACUCAUGCACCACCUGAUAGGCGUGCUUGAGGGUAUCGAUGGCAUGAGGAAUAAGCGCCCACCGAAGAUCAGAUUUGAGGCCCAUCCUAAAUCUGGAUAGGGUGACUAAUGGGUCCUCCUAGAUGUUGCAUCACAUCAUAUACUCAUCAAACUUUGCGAUGUAAUCAGCCACGGACAUGGAUCCCUGACAAAGAAAUUGCCACUGAUCCAAGAGCUUGUUGUGGUAAGAGGGGAAGAUACUUCUCCUUCAAACCUCUUUCAUCUCAACCUAAAGGGCGAUAGGUUCUUCUCCCGUCCUCGCCAUCUUACGCUCGAUGUUUGUCCAAAACAGUUUCACUUGGCUUACCAAUUUCAUCUCGGUGAAUCUUACUUGAAGGGGAUCAAACAUUUCUUACCACUCGAAGUGGUGAUCUAUGUCUGCUAACCAAUCAAGGAACGCCUUGGGAUCCAAGCGAUCAUCAAAAAUCGUGCAUCUACCUUUACGUUCUUCAUAACCCGCUCAUCUGGAUCAUAGUGGUCAUGGAACUCUCUCUGGGGUGCCUGAUAAUGCCCCCCACCAAAACCACUACCUCAGGCCUGGAUUCCUCCACGUCUUCCAGCAUGACCUCCUACAUCAUUUUGCACAGGGCUUCUUUCUUGGGACUAGCCAUCCUCUCCCCAGUGUUGGGGUUAGCUUGUAGGGAGGUCUCUAACUUAUCAAUGCGGUUAUUUUGGGCUGCCAAUUGGUUAUUGUUGGCUCGACCUUGCACCUCUAUGGCUGCCAGACAAGUGUUCAUAGCUUGCAUGAGCUAGGUGAGCUGUUCUAAACUCAUCGUGGGGUGAAGACCAAAAUCACGCCUAGAUUGCAUGGGCAUGCAUAGGGAAAACUAAUGUGAAGACCCUACACGACCCUAUAUGACCCUAGACAACUCUAGAUGAACCUGCGUGACUCUAUAUGGCCAAGGAGUUGGCUAAUCCUAAAAAUCAAGCAAUGUAACUAAUGAAAUAUCCUAGUAAUAAAAUUCAGCAAUGUAGCAAGAAGAAUUAACGAGUGUUAGGAGAAUUCAGCAAUGGGAUAAAGGAAAUAAUAGUGCUAGUUUUUCAGCAAUAGGUCAAAAGAAACACUAGCACUAAAAUUCAGCAAAAUACCACGAGAUAUAACUAACACUCGAAAAUUCCAGCAAUGCAGCAUGUGCAUUAACUAGUACCACAAAUUUCAGAAGUACACAGUGAAAUAACUAGUUCAAAAAAAAAUUUUAAAAAAAUCAGCAAGAUGCAAACUAUGUUGAGUAUGAUGAUGAACACCCUAACUCUAAGAUCAAUCUAUCCUAUGUUUAACCUUUGCUCUGAUGCCAAAAUUUGAUGCAGGAUGGUUUUCUAACCUGGGAUGAUAGAUGAAAUCAGAUUUUCAGUUUAAACAUGAACAACAAAAGUAUGAAAUUUCAGCAUCCUCAUCAUAAACCAAACAAUUAAUCCAUGAGCAACAAAAGUAUGAAAUUUCAGCAACCUCAUAAUAAACCAUACAAUUAAUCAAAUAAACAAUUACAUGUAAUCCUAGGCUACCACAUGCUCGUAUGAAGGAACUAGUAAGAUGUCAAUUCAAAAUAUGCCUAAUGGAAUUAAGAAAUUCCAUCCAAAACAUGAGAGUAGAACUAUUUUAAAGGGAAUCACCCAAGUCCUAAAAGGAUUCUAGGUUCAGGGAAAUUAGGGUUAGGUUUAGGGUUUGGAAGUUGGGGAAUUAUGAAAUUAGGGUUUAUUUGAAAAAAAGAAAAAAAAAAAAAAGAAG